rnacentral:tRNA from 1 species
AGGGGUUUAAGAUAAUUAAACUCAGGGCCUUCAAAGCCCUAAAUAGAAGUAAAAACCUUCUAGCCUCUG